rnacentral:rRNA from 1 species
GAGUUUGAUCGUGGCUCAGAUUGAACGCUGGCGGCAUGCCUUACACAUGCAAGUCGAACGGCAGCAUGAUCUAGCUUGCUAGAUUGAUGGCGAGUGGCGAACGGGUGAGUAAUACAUCGGAACGUGCCCUGUAGUGGGGGAUAACUAGUCGAAAGAUUAGCUAAUACCGCAUACGACCUGAGGGUGAAAGUGGGGGACCGCAAGGCCUCAUGCUAUAGGAGCGGCCGAUGUCUGAUUAGCUAGUUGGUGGGGUAAAGGCCCACCAAGGCGACGAUCAGUAGCUGGUCUGAGAGGACGAUCAGCCACACUGGGACUGAGACACGGCCCAGACUCCUACGGGAGGCAGCAGGGGGGAAUUUUGGACAAUGGGCGAAAGCCUGAUCCAGCAAUGCCGCGUGUGUGAAGAAGGCCUCGGUUGUAAG